AUGGUACCGUCUACAAAGGGAUUUAUCGGAUCUCCAUGUAGUUGCCAUCAAGAAGCUAAGGUGGUGGUGCAGAAAGAGAUUGAUGAGUUUAUUAAUGAGGUUGCUAUCUUGUCCCAAGUCAACCAUAGAAAUGUGGUAAAACUCUAUGGUUGUUGCCUUGAAACAGAGGUCCCAAUGUUGGUCUACGAGUUUGUAUCCAAUGGGACCCUUUAUGAUCAUGUUCAUGUCAGGUCAUUGUCGUGGGAUGACAGGCUACGCAUAGCAACUGAAACAGCCAAAUCUCUUGCUUACCUUCACUCGUCCGUCUCAAUACCCAUCAUCCAUAGAGAUAUCAAGUCUGUUAACAUACUUUUGGAUGAUACUUUAACAGCAAAGGUAGCGGAUUUUGGAGCUUCAAGGUACAUUCCAAUGGAGCAAUCAGGGGUAACAACAAUGGUGCAAGGUACAAUAGGAUAUUUAGAUCCUAUGUACUUCUACACAUCGCGCCUCACAGAUAAGAGUGAUGUGUAUAGCUUUGGUGUCAUUCUUGUAGAAUUGUUGACUCGAAAGAAGCCCUUUUCAUACAUGUCCUCUGGAGGUGAUAGCCUUGUUGCAAAUUUUGUUACCCUGCUUGCAGAAGGUAGCUUAUUGCAGAUAUUAGAUCCACGAGUGAUCGAAGAGGGAGGCAUAGAAGUUGAAGAAGUUGCUAAGCUUGCGGUAACAUGUGUGAAAAUUAAAGGAGAGGAUCGUCCAACCAUGAGGCAAGUGGAAAUGACACUAGAAGGCCUUCAAACAUCCAUGGACCAUGUUCUAGAUGGUCAAGUGGCCAGGGAAUUUGAGAAGGUUGACGUUGCAAUAAUUCCACCAUCAACUAAUAGUACCGAAAGAAACAAUGAUGAUUCAACAAGACAAUACAGCUUAGAACAUGAGUUCAUGUUAUCCUCAAGGUACCCUCGGUAG
rnacentral:rRNA from 1 species